rnacentral:rRNA from 1 species
CCUACGGGAGGCAGCAGUGGGGGAUAUUGCACAAUGGGGGGAACCCUGAUGCAGCGACGCCGCGUGGGUGAAGAAGCGCCUCGGCGCGUAAAGCCCUGUCAGCAGGGAAGAAAAUGACGGUACCUGAAGAAGAAGCCCCGGCUAACUACGUGCCAGCAGCCGCGGUAAUACGUAGGGGGCAAGCGUUAUCCGGAUUUACUGGGUGUAAAGGGGGCGCAGACGGCGAUGCAAGCCAGGAGGGAAAGCCCGGGGCCAAACCCCGGGACUGCUCUUGGAACUGCGUGGCUGGAGGGCAGGAGGGGCAGGCGGAAUUCCGGGGGGAACGGUGAAAUGCGUAGAUAUCAGGAGGGACACCGGUGGCGAAGGCGGCCUGCUGGACUGCAACUGACGUUGAGGCCCGAAAGCGUGGGGAGCAAACAGGAUUAGAUACCCUAGUAGGCC